rnacentral:rRNA from 1 species
UCGCCUGCAUGAAGUCGGAAUUGCUAGUAAUCGCGGAUCAGCAUGCCGCGGUGAAUACGUUCUCGGGCCUUGUACACACCGCCCGUCACACCAUGGGAGUCGGUAACACCCGAAGUCUGUAGCCUGACGCAAGAGGGCGCAGCCGAAGGUGGGAUUGAUGACUGGGGUGAAGUCGUAACAAGGUACC